CACAUGCGCAGUGAACCCGUCGGUUUUGUUUAAGCGCGCGCAGUUCAUCCCGUGCAUGCUGUCAGCUGUGCAGAUCGGAUGUCAGUCAGUUUAGCGCUACAAAACGAAAUGUCCGAUAGUUCUGACCUAGGUGAUUUUGGGAGUAACCUGAAAAAGGCUAUUGCGAGUGUUCCAUCCCAGCAGGUACAUGUACAAG